GGUUAAGUUAGAAAGGGCGCACGGUGGAUGCCUUGGCACUAGGAGCCGAAGAAGGACGGGACUAACACCGAUAUGCUUUGGGGAGCUGUACGUAAGCGUUGAUCCAGAGAUUUCCGAAUGGGGGAACCCACUAUCUUUAGUCGGAUAGUAUCCUUACGUGAAUACAUAGCGUGAGGAAGGCAGACCCAGGGAACUGAAACAUCUAAGUACCUGGAGGAAGAGAAAGAAAAAUCGAUUUCCUGAGUAGCGGCGAGCGAAACGGAAAGAGCCCAAACCAAGAAGCUUGCUUCUUGGGGUUGUAGGACACUCUAUACGGAGUUACAAAAGAAAGUUAUAAAUGAAGCGGUCUGGAAAGGCCCGCCAAAGACGGUAACAGCCCGGUAGUUGAAAUGGCUUUCCCUCCAGAGUGGAUCCUGAGUACGGCGGAACACGUGAAAUUCCGUCGGAAUCCGGGAGGACCAUCUCCCAAGGCUAAAUACUCCCUAGUGACCGAUAGUGAACCAGUACCGUGAGGGAAAGGUGAAAAGCACCCCGGAAGGGGAGUGAAACAGUUCCUGAAACCGUGUGCCUACAAGUAGUUAGAGCCCGUUAAUGGGUGAUAGCGUGCCUUUUGUAGAAUGAACCGGCGAGUUACGAUUUGUUGCAAGGUUAAGCGGAAAAAGCGGAGCCGUAGCGAAAGCGAGUCUGAAUAGGGCGCAUAAGUAACAGGUCGUAGACCCGAAACCAGGUGAUCUACCCAUGUCCAGGAUGAAGGUAAGGUAAUACUUACUGGAGGUCCGAACCCACGCACGUUGAAAAGUGCGGGGAUGAGGUGUGGGUAGCGGAGAAAUUCCAAUCGAACUUGGAGAUAGCUGGUUCUCUCCGAAAUAGCUUUAGGGCUAGCCUCGAGGUAAAGAGUCAUGGAGGUAGAGCACUGUUUGGACUAGGGGCCCUUCUCGGGUUACCGAAUUCAGAUAAACUCCGAAUGCCAUGUACUUAUACUCGGGAGUCAGACUGCGAGUGAUAAGAUCCGUAGUCGAAAGGGAAACAGCCCAGACCACCAGUUAAGGUCCCCAAAUAUAUGUUAAGUGGAAAAGGAUGUGGGGUUGCUUAGACAACCAGGAUGUUGGCUUAGAAGCAGCCACCAUUGAAAGAGUGCGUAAUAGCUCACUGGUCGAGUGACCCCGCGCCGAAAAUGUACCGGGGCUAAACAUAUUACCGAAACUGUGGAUGAACCUCUUUAGAGGUUCGUGGUAGGAGAGCGUUCUAAGGGCGGUGAAGUCAGACCGGAAGGACUGGUGGAGCGCUUAGAAGUGAGAAUGCCGGUAUGAGUAGCGAAAGAAGGGUGAGAAUCCCUUCCACCGAAUAUCUAAGGUUUCCUGAGGAAGGCUCGUCCGCUCAGGGUUAGUCGGGACCUAAGCCGAGGCCGAUAGGCGUAGGCGAUGGACAACAGGUAGAGAUUCCUGUACCAGUGCUAAUUGUUUAACCGAUGGGGUGACACAGAAGGAUAGGGAAUCGCACGAAUGGAAAUGUGCGUCCAAGCAGUGAGUGUGAGAAGUAGGCAAAUCCGCUUCUCGNNNNNNNNNNNNNNNNNNNNNNNNNNNNNNNNNNNNNNNNNNNNNNNNNNNNNNNNNNNNNNNNNNNNNNNNNNNNNNNNNNNNNNNNNNNNNNNNNNNCGAAGCAUGAGCUGUGAUGGGGAAGGAAAUUAAGUACGGAAGUUCCUGAUUUCACGCUGUCAAGAAAAGCCUCUAGGAAGAGUAGUACUGCCCGUACCGCAAACCGACACAGGUAGAUGAGGAGAGAAUCCUAAGGUGAGCGAGAGAACUCUCGUUAAGGAACUCGGCAAAAUGACCCCGUAACUUCGGGAGAAGGGGUGCUCUAUUAGGGUGCAAGCCCGAGAGAGCCGCAGUGAAUAGGCCCAGGCGACUGUUUAGCAAAAACACAGGUCUCUGCAAAACCGUAAGGUGACGUAUAGGGGCUGACGCCUGCCCGGUGCUGGAAGGUUAAGAGGAGUGCUUAGCUUCGGCGAAGGUACGAAUUGAAGCCCCAGUAAACGGCGGCCGUAACUAUAACGGUCCUAAGGUAGCGAAAUUCCUUGUCGGGUAAGUUCCGACCCGCACGAAAGGCGCAACGAUCUGGGCACUGUCUCAACGAGAGACUCGGUGAAAUUAUAGUACCUGUGAAGAUGCAGGUUACCCGCGACAGGACGGAAAGACCCCGUGGAGCUUUACUGCAACCUGAUAUGGAAUGUUUGUACCGCUUGUACAGGAUAGGUAGGAGCCGAAGAGACGUGUGCGCUAGCAUACGAGGAGGCAAUGGUGGGAUACUACCCUGGCUGUAUGACCAUUCUAACCCGCCACGCUUAGCGCGUGGGGAGACAGUGUCAGGUGGGCAGUUUGACUGGGGCGGUCGCCUCCUAAAGAGUAACGGAGGCGCCCAAAGGUUCCCUCAGAAUGGAUGGAAAUCAUUCGCAGAGUGUAAAGGCACAAGGGAGCUUGACUGCGAGACUGACAAGUCGAGCAGGGACGAAAGUCGGGCUUAGUGAUCCGGUGGUUCCGCAUGGAAGGGCCAUCGCUCAACGGAUAAAAGCUACCCCGGGGAUAACAGGCUUAUCUCCCCCAAGAGUCCACAUCGACGGGGAGGUUUGGCACCUCGAUGUCGGCUCGUCGCAUCCUGGGGCUGUAGUCGGUCCCAAGGGUUGGGCUGUUCGCCCAUUAAAGCGGCACGCGAGCUGGGUUCAGAACGUCGUGAGACAGUUCGGUCCCUAUCCGUCGCGGGCGCAGGAAAUUUGAGAGGAGCUGUCCUUAGUACGAGAGGACCGGGAUGGACACACCGCUGGUGUACCAGUUGUUCCGCCAGGAGCAUCGCUGGGUAGCUAUGUGUGGCAGGGAUAAACGCUGAAAGCAUCUAAGCGUGAAGCCCCCCUCAAGAUGAGAUUUCCCAUUUCUUCGGAAAGUAAGAUCCCUGAAAGAUGAUCAGGUAGAUAGGUUUGGAGUGGAAGUGUAGCGAUACAUGGAGCGGACAAAUACUAAUCGAUCGAGGACUUAACCAA
rnacentral:rRNA from 1 species